rnacentral:rRNA from 1 species
GACGGGGGGUUCUAGCGUUGUUCGGAAUCAUUGGGCGUAAAGCGUGUGCAGGUGGUUUUAAAAGUUAGAUGUGAAAUCCUUGGGCUCAACCCAAGAAGUGCAUUUAAAACUGUAAAACUUGAGUAUGGAAGAGGGUCGUGGAAUUCCAGGUGUAGUGGUGAAAUACGUAGAUAUCUGGAGGAACACCGGUGGCGAAGGCGGCAUCCUGGACCAUGACUGACGCUGAGGAGCGAAAGCCAGGGGAGCAAACGGG